rnacentral:rRNA from 1 species
AACGAACGCUGGCGGCAUGCCUAACACAUGCAAGUCGAACGAGACCUUCGGGCCUAGUGGCGCACGGGUGCGUAACGCGUGGGAACCUGCCCUUAGGUUCGGAAUAACUCCCCGAAAGGGGUGCUAAUACCGGAUAAUUUCUUCGGACCAAAGAUUUAUCGCCUUUGGAUGGGCCCGCGUUGGAUUAGCUAGUUGGUAGGGUAAAAGCCUACCAAGGCGACGAUCCAUAGCUGGUCUGAGAGGAUGAUCAGCCACACUGGGACUGAGACACGGCCCAGACUCCUACGGGAGGCAGCAGUGGGGAAUAUUGGACAAUGGGCGAAAGCCUGAGCCAGCAAUGCCGCGUGAGUGAUGAAGGCCUUAGGGUUGUAAAGCUCUUUUACCCGGGAUGAUAAUGACAGUACCGGGAGAAUAAGCGCCGGCUAACUCCGU